UACGUAGGGGGCAAGCGUUGUCCGGAAUCAUUGGGCGUAAAGCGCGUGUAGGCGGCCCGGUAAGUCCGCUGUGAAAGUCGGGGGCUCAACCCUCGAAUGCCGGUGGAUACUGUCGGGCUAGAGUGCGGGAGAGGCGAGUGGAAUCCUGGGUGUAGCGGUGAAAUGCGCAGAUAUCAGGAGGAACACCAAUGGCGAAGGCAGCUCGCUGGGACGGUACUGACGCUGGAGACGCGAAAGCGUGGGGAGCAAACAGGAUUAG
rnacentral:rRNA from 1 species